GCGCGUGGGAGGCCGCGAGUGGAAGUGCGACUAUGCACGAAUCAGGCGUGUGAGAAACGAACCCCGAUCUUGUGUUGGCGCGUGAGCAGGUCUAAUAGGAAGGAAUUGUGUUGAAAUACUAUUAAACGUACAUUCAAGGGGGAAAAGGAGUUCGAAACCAAAUUUAGAUGAUGCAGGCCAACCGAGGACGAGACCAGCGGGCUAGAUACUACUGGGAAUCCAUGUCUGAGUCUGUUUAUGUAAUUAUGUUUUCGUUGUCAAGAAUUUAUCUUGGUCGUAUUAAGUUUUAAAAAGUACUGGUUUUAAAUGUUUUUGUUUACUGGAUGUUUUUUUUAGAAAUAUUUUGAGCAUAUGUUUGGGUGUUAGAGUAUGUUAUCGUUGUUAAUAGUAACUCCUGUUAAUCGCGUUGACGAUGAGCGGGUGUUACACUUAUAGUCUACUAA